GUGCAGCGGAUAGUGCGGGUGCUGGAGCUGGCGGGGGCGGUCAUGGAGGAGCUGGGAAACUCGCAGGGUCCCCGCGGCGAGGCCGUCGUCGCCCACUGCCGCGAGUUCAUGCUCUACAUGAAGGAAAUUCAAACUACAUUGCGUGAGGAAAUAAAAAGUGCUUGUGAAUACCGGCCAUUUGAGAUGUGUGACUACAGUGCAAGGAUUGCUAACGAGAUUUGUUGCAAAAAGCUGGAGUAUGUGAUUGAGAAGAUGGAUGCCAUGCAACUGAACAUUGAGCCCAGCACCAAUGAAGUUUAG
rnacentral:rRNA from 1 species